rnacentral:rRNA from 1 species
UACGUAGGGUGCGAGCGUUGUCCGGAAUUAUUGGGCGUAAAGGGCUCGUAGGCGGUCUGUCGCGUCGGGAGUGAAAACUCAGGGCUUAACCCUGAGCCUGCUUCCGAUACGGGCAGACUAGAGGUAUGCAGGGGAGAACGGAAUUCCUGGUGUAGCGGUGGAAUGCGCAGAUAUCAGGAGGAACACCGGUGGCGAAGGCGGUUCUCUGGGCAUUACCUGACGCUGAGACGCGAAAGCGCGGGGAGCAAACAGG